rnacentral:lncRNA from 1 species
CCAUAUUCAAAUAGCUUGUGUCUCCAAAUUCUGGCAAUACACCAACCUCGUCUUUGGUUUGAACUUUUCACCCCAAGUUCUGGUAGUACACCAACCUGCGUUCUUGGCUUUUACCCUUGUGUCUUCAAAUUCUGGCCAUACACCAACUUGCAUCUUUGGCUUUACCUUUCAAUUCAAAUUCUAGCACUACACCAAUUUGCGUCUUUAGUUUCACCUUUUUACUCCAAAUUCUGGCAGUACACCAACCUGUGUCUUUGGUUUCACAUUUUUACUCCAAAUUCUGGCAGUACACCAACAUGCGUCUUGGGUUUCACCUUUUUAAUCCAAAUUCUGG